rnacentral:rRNA from 1 species
AGUGAUGGCGCAGGCCUAACACAUGCAGUCGAGCGGAAACGAGUUAUCUGAACCUUCGGGGAACGAUAACGGCGUCGAGCGGCGGACGGGUGAGUAAUGCCUAGGAAAUUGCCCUGAUGUGGGGGAUAACCAUUGGAAACGAUGGCUAAUACCGCAUAAUGCCUACGGGCCAAAGAGGGGGACCUUCGGGCCUCUCGCGUCAGGAUAUGCCUAGGUGGGAUUAGCUAGUUGGUGAGGUAAUGGCUCACCAAGGCGACGAUCCCUAGCUGGUCUGAGAGGAUGAUCAGCUACACUGGAACUGAGACACGGUCCAGACUCCUACGGGAGGCAGCAGUGGGGAAUAUUGCACAAUGGGCGCAAGCCUGAUGCAGCCAUGCCGCGUGUGUGAAGAAGGCCUUCGGGUUGUAAAGCACUUUCAGUCGUGAGGAAGGUAGUGUAGUUAAUAGCUUCAUUACUUGACGUUAGCGACAGAAGAAGCACCGGCUAACUCCGUGCCAGCAGCCGCGGUAAUACGGAGGGUGCGAGCGUUAAUCGGAAUUACUGGGCGUAAAGCGCAUGCAGGUGGUUUGUUUAGUCAGAUGUGAAAGCCCCGGGGCUCAACCUCGGAAUAGCAUUUGAAACUGGCAGACUAGAGUACUGUAGAGGGGGGUAGAAUUUCAGGUGUAGCGGUGAAAUGCGUAUAGAUCUGAAGGAAUACCGGUGGCGAAGGCGGCCCCCUGGACAGAUACUGACACUCAGAUGCGAAAGCGUGGAGGAGCAAACAGGAUUACAUACCCUGUAGGUCCACGCCUGUAAACGAUGUCGUACUUGGAGGUUGUGCCCUUGAGCCAGUGGCCUUUCGGAGCUAACCGCGUUCAAGUAGACCAGCCUGGCGGAGUCACGGGUCGCUAUGCAUUAGAACUCAAAUCGAGUUGACGG